CUAGAAGUUUGGUCCCGGCUUUAGUGUCAACUAAAACUAACCUUACACAUGCAAGUCUCCGCAGCCCAGUGACAAAGCCACCAACAUAAACACAGAGAGCUGAUAUCAGGCACAACAAAGUUAGCCAAAAACAUCUAGUUAUACCACACCCCCACGGGCAUACAGCAGUGAUAAACAUUAACGUAUGAGCACCAGCUCGACUUAGAUACAGUUAAUAAGCGUCGGUAAACCUCGUGCCAGCCACCGCGGUUAUACGAGGGACGAAAGUUGACACACACGGCGUAAAGAGUGAUAAAAACCUAUCCUACACCCAAGAUCAAAAAUUCACUAAGCUGUCAUAAGCAUUAGCGAAUCCUAUGCCCCAUGUACGAAAGUAGUCUUAAUAAACAGAUAUAUUUACAUCACGACAACUAAGACACAAACUGAGAUUAGAUACCUCACUAUGCUUAGUCGCAAAACUUACUCUUACACCUCUAUCACGCCAGAGCACUACGAGCGAUAGCUUAAAACUCAAAGGACUUGGCGGUGCCCUAAACCCCUCCAGAGGAGCCUGUUCUAUAAUCGAUACCCCACGUUAAACCUUACCACUCUUUGCCAUUUCAGCCUAUAUACCACCGUCGCCAGCUCACCCUUUGAGGGGACAGUAGUUAGCAGAAUGAGCAACCUCAAUACGUCAGGUCAAGGUGUAGCAAAUAGAGCGGAGAGAAAUGGGCUACAUUUUCUUAAAAAGAAUACUACGGAUAGCAUAAUGAAAACACCCCUGAAGGCGGAUUUGACAGUAAAUACAAAUAAUAAAGUUAUACUGAAACUGGCCAUAGGGCGCGCACACACCGCCCGUCACCCUCAUCAAGAAAUUAAUAACUUAAAUAAAACUUUCACAUUCUUUCAGACGAGGAAAGUCGUAACAUGGUAAGCGUACUAGAAAGUGCUCUUGGAUUAAU
rnacentral:ncRNA from 1 species